CUUAACCAUUAGAAUCCUACUGAGCACUGCAAUAAUCUGAAAUUAAAGGAAGAGAUACGUAGUAAUAGGCCCAUAAUUUCAGCACAGAAGUAAUUUCAGAUUUGUCCGGAUGUAAAUUUAUCCUUGAAAAGUUAAAGAAUAAAACCACAGUUGUAUUCCAUAUAUAUACUGAAGAAAUUAUGCAGUGAUUUAAAUGUGUCGAGCUUUUAAAAUGCACCUAAAUAAAUUAAGCCCAUGCCUCUUUAUUUUUUGUUGUUUUCAGUCUAUCUAGCUCCUUUGAAGUUGGGCUAUGGAACACGUUAAUGCAUAGGCUUGAGAUGCAGAAGCAUGAGCAUCAGACUAACCUGGUCUGGCUAACUGGAACCAGUCCAGAUGUGGCCUUCAUGAAAAAAUUGCUUGAGAAAUGGAAGUACCAGAUAAUAUGAAGUCAAAGUCAACUGAAAAUGUUAUCAAACAUCCAUGGCAUGAUGUUAUUUUGGCCAUAAAGAGCUCAAUUGCAACAUGAUGAUGGAAGCACCGAGUGCCACAUGCACUUUUUCUGUCCAUUCAGUUCUGUGUCAUUUCACUGUAUUGGUCUGACAUCCACUUCGGGUGUUUUCUCCAUUGGCUUUUCAUAUCAUGUGUGAUUUUUUUCUGUUCAAUUCCUGCUAUGCAAAGGAAUCCUAAGUAAACCAG
rnacentral:lncRNA from 1 species